GGUUAAGCGACUAAGCGUACACGGUGGAUGCCCUGGCAGUCAGAGGCGAUGAAGGACGUGCUAAUCUGCGAAAAGCGUCGGUAAGGUGAUAUGAACCGUUAUAACCGGCGAUGUCCGAAUGGGGAAACCCAGUGCAAUUCGUUGCACUAUCGUUAACUGAAUACAUAGGUUAACGAGGCGAACCGGGGGAACUGAAACAUCUAAGUACCCCGAGGAAAAGAAAUCAACCGAGAUUCCCCCAGUAGCGGCGAGCGAACGGGGAGCAGCCCAGAGUCUGAAUCAGCUUGUGUGUUAGUGGAACGGUCUGGAAAGUCCGACGGUACAGGGUGAUAGUCCCGUACACCAAAAUGCACAGGUUGUGAACUCGAAGAGUAGGGCGGGACACGUGGUAUCCUGUCUGAAUAUGGGGGGACCAUCCUCCAAGGCUAAAUACUCCUGACUGACCGAUAGUGAACCAGUACCGUGAGGGAAAGGCGAAAAGAACCCCGGCGAGGGGAGUGAAAAAGAACCUGAAACCGUGUACGUACAAGCAGUGGGAGCACCUUCGGGUGUGACUGCGUACCUUUUGUAUAAUGGGUCAGCGACUUAUAUUCUGUAGCAAGGUUAACCGUAUAGGGGAGCCGCAGGGAAACCGAGUCUUAACUGGGCGUUAAGUUGCAGGGUAUAGACCCGAAACCCGGUGAUCUAGCCAUGGGCAGGUUGAAGGUUGGGUAACACUAACUGGAGGACCGAACCGACUAAUGUUGAAAAAUUAGCGGAUGACUUGUGGCUGGGGGUGAAAGGCCAAUCAAACCGGGAGAUAGCUGGUUCUCCCCGAAAGCUAUUUAGGUAGCGCCUCGUGAACUCAUCUUCGGGGGUAGAGCACUGUUUCGGCUAGGGGGUCAUCCCGACUUACCAACCCGAUGCAAACUACGAAUACCGAAGAAUGUUAUCACGGGAGACACACGGCGGGUGCUAACGUCCGUCGUGAAGAGGGAAACAACCCAGACCGCCAGCUAAGGUCCCAAAGUCAUGGUUAAGUGGGAAACGAUGUGGGAAGGCACAGACAGCCAGGAUGUUGGCUUAGAAGCAGCCAUCAUUUAAAGAAAGCGUAAUAGCUCACUGGUCGAGUCGGCCUGCGCGGAAGAUGUAACGGGGCUAAACCAUGCACCGAAGCUGCGGCAGCGACACUAUGUGUUGUUGGGUAGGGGAGCGUUCUGUAAGCCUGCGAAGGUGUGCUGUGAGGCAUGCUGGAGGUAUCAGAAGUGCGAAUGCUGACAUAAGUAACGAUAAAGCGGGUGAAAAGCCCGCUCGCCGGAAGACCAAGGGUUCCUGUCCAACGUUAAUCGGGGCAGGGUGAGUCGACCCCUAAGGCGAGGCCGAAAGGCGUAGUCGAUGGGAAACAGGUUAAUAUUCCUGUACUUGGUGUUACUGCGAAGGGGGGACGGAGAAGGCUAUGUUAGCCGGGCGACGGUUGUCCCGGUUUAAGCAUGUAGGCUGGUUGUCCAGGCAAAUCCGGAUAAUCAAGGCUGAGGUGUGAUGACGAGGCACUACGGUGCUGAAGUAACAAAUGCCCUGCUUCCAGGAAAAGCCUCUAAGCAUCAGGUAACAUCAAAUCGUACCCCAAACCGACACAGGUGGUCAGGUAGAGAAUACCAAGGCGCUUGAGAGAACUCGGGUGAAGGAACUAGGCAAAAUGGUGCCGUAACUUCGGGAGAAGGCACGCUGGUGUGUAGGUGAAGUCCCUGCGGAUGGAGCUGAGACCAGUCGAAGAUACCAGCUGGCUGCAACUGUUUAUUAAAAACACAGCACUGUGCAAACACGAAAGUGGACGUAUACGGUGUGACGCCUGCCCGGUGCCGGAAGGUUAAUUGAUGGGGUUAUCCGUAAGGAGAAGCUCUUGAUCGAAGCCCCGGUAAACGGCGGCCGUAACUAUAACGGUCCUAAGGUAGCGAAAUUCCUUGUCGGGUAAGUUCCGACCUGCACGAAUGGCGUAAUGAUGGCCAGGCUGUCUCCACCCGAGACUCAGUGAAAUUGAACUCGCUGUGAAGAUGCAGUGUACCCGCGGCAAGACGGAAAGACCCCGUGAACCUUUACUAUAGCUUGACACUGAACAUUGAGCCUUGAUGUGUAGGAUAGGUGGGAGGCUUUGAAGCGUGGACGCCAGUCUGCGUGGAGCCAACCUUGAAAUACCACCCUUUAAUGUUUGAUGUUCUAACGUUGGCCCCUUACCGGGGUUGCGGACAGUGUCUGGUGGGUAGUUUGACUGGGGCGGUCUCCUCCCAAAGCGUAACGGAGGAGCACGAAGGUUAGCUAAUCCUGGUCGGACAUCAGGAGGUUAGUGCAAUGGCAUAAGCUAGCUUGACUGCGAGCGUGACGGCGCGAGCAGGUGCGAAAGCAGGUCAUAGUGAUCCGGUGGUUCUGAAUGGAAGGGCCAUCGCUCAACGGAUAAAAGGUACUCCGGGGAUAACAGGCUGAUACCGCCCAAGAGUUCAUAUCGACGGCGGUGUUUGGCACCUCGAUGUCGGCUCAUCACAUCCUGGGGCUGAAGUAGGUCCCAAGGGUAUGGCUGUUCGCCAUUUAAAGUGGUACGCGAGCUGGGUUUAGAACGUCGUGAGACAGUUCGGUCCCUAUCUGCCGUGGGCGCUGGAGAAUUGAGGGGGGCUGCUCCUAGUACGAGAGGACCGGAGUGGACGCAUCACUGGUGUUCGGGUUGUCAUGCCAAUGGCACUGCCCGGUAGCUAAAUGCGGAAGAGAUAAGUGCUGAAAGCAUCUAAGCACGAAACUUGCCCCGAGAUGAGUUCUCCCUGAGACUUUAAGUCUCCUGAAGGAACGUUGAAGACGACGACGUUGAUAGGCCGGGUGUGUAAGCGCAGCGAUGCGUUGAGCUAACCGGUACUAAUGAACCGUGAGGCUUAACCUU
rnacentral:rRNA from 1 species